GAAUCCCGUCUUUGGCACGGAAACCCCAGGGCUUUUGUGAUGCGCUCUCGAAAAGUCGAGUUGUUUGGGAAUGCAGCUCAAAAUGGGUGGUGAACUCCAUCUAAAGCUAAAUAUUGGCGAGAGACCGAUAGCGAACAAGUACCGUGAGGGAAAGAUGAAAAGCACUUUGGAAAGAGAGUGAAACAGUACGUGAAAUUGUUGAAAGGGAAACGCUUGAAGUCAGUCGCGUCGACCGAGACUCAGCCUUGCCCUUGGCUUGGUGUACUUCUCGGCUGACGGGUCAGCAUCAAUUUUGCCCCUUGGAUAAUGGCGAGGGAAAUGUGACACCUUUACGGUGUGUUAUAGUCUCUUGUCGCAUGCAAGGGUUGGGAUUGAGGAACUCAGCACGCACCUUUGGGUGUCGGGGCUUUGCCCACGAUACGUGCUUAGGAUGUUGGCGUAAUGGCUUUAAACGACCCGUCUUGAAACACGGACCAAGGAGUCUAACAUGCCUGCGAGUGUUCGGGUGGAAAACUCGUGCGCGCAAUGAAAGUGAAAGUUGGGACCUCUGUCGUGGAGGGCACCGACGCCCGGACCAGACCUUCUGUGACGGCUCUGCGGUAAAGCAUGUAUGUUAGGACCCGAAAGAUGGUGAACUAUGCCUGAAUAGGGUGAAGCCAGAGGAAACUCUGGUGGAGGCUCGUAGCGAUUCUGACGUGCAAAUCGAUCGUCAAAUUUGGGUAUAGGGGCGAAAGGCUAAUCGAACCAUCUAGUAGCUGGUUCCUGCC
rnacentral:rRNA from 1 species